rnacentral:rRNA from 1 species
AUUGAACGCUGGCGGCAGGCCUAACACAUGCAAGUCGAGCGGCAGCGGGAAGUAGCUUGCUACUUUGCCGGCGAGCGGCGGACGGGUGAGUAAUGUCUGGGAAACUGCCUGAUGGAGGGGGAUAACUACUGGAAACGGUAGCUAAUACCGCAUAACGUCGCAAGACCAAAGAGGGGGACCUUCGGGCCUCUUGCCAUCAGAUGUGCCCAGAUGGGAUUAGCUAGUAGGUGGGGUAACGGCUCACCUAGGCGACGAUCCCUAGCUGGUCUGAGAGGAUGACCAGCCACACUGGAACUGAGACACGGUCCAGACUCCUACGGGAGGCAGCAGUGGGGAAUAUUGCACAAUGGGCGCAAGCCUGAUGCAGCCAUGCCGCGUGUAUGAAGAAGGCCUUCGGGUUGUAAAGUACUUUCAGCGGGGAGGAAGGUGUUGAGGUUAAUAACCUCAGCAAUUGACGUUACCCGCAGAAGAAGCACCGGCUAACUCCGUGCCAGCCGCCGCCGUAA